UACGAAGGGGCUAGCGUUGCUCGGAAUUACUGGGCGUAAAGGGCGCGUAGGCGGCCAUUCAAGUCAGAGGUGAAGCCCAAGGCUCAACCUUGGAACUGCCUUUGAUACUGUUGGCUUGAGACCGGUAGAGGUAAGUGGAACUGCGAGUGUAGAGGUGAAUUCGUAGAUAUUCGCAAGAACACCAGUGGCGAAGGCGGCUUACUGGACCGGUUCUGACGCUGAGGCGCGAAGCGUGGAGCAACAGG
rnacentral:rRNA from 1 species